rnacentral:rRNA from 1 species
AACGAACGCUGGCGGCAUGCCUAACACAUGCAAGUCGAACGAGACCUUCGGGUCUAGUGGCGCACGGGUGCGUAACGCGUGGGAAUCUGCCCUUCGGUUGGGAGUAACUGAGAGAAAUUUCAGCUAAUACCUUAUAAUGUCUUCGGACCAAAGAUUUAUCGCCGAGGGAUGAGCCCGCGUAGGAUUAGGUAGUUGGUGGGGUAAUGGCCUACCAAGCCGACGAUCCUUAGCUGGUCUGAGAGGAUGAUCAGCCACACUGGGACUGAGACACGGCCCAGACUCCUACGGGAGGCAGCAGUGGGGAAUAUUGGACAAUGGGCGAAAGCCUGAUCCAGCAAUGCCGCGUGAGUGAUGAAGGCCUUAGGGUUGUAAAGCUCUUUUACCCGGGAUGAUAAUGACAGUACCGGGAGAAUAAGCUCCGGCUAACUCCGUG